GGUGGCUUAGUGGUAGAGCACUUGCCUUGCAUGCAUGAAGCCCUGGGUUCGAUUCCUCAGCACCA
rnacentral:tRNA from 1 species